ensembl:snRNA U2 U2 spliceosomal RNA
CCAGUUUCUGGCCUUUUGGCUAAGAUCAAGUUUAGUAUCUGUUCUUAUCAGUAUUUACUUAUUCUUUGAGACAUACAUAUAAAUAAUGUAUUUUGACCGUAGCAAUUCACCACUA